rnacentral:lncRNA from 1 species
CCUGUGUUUGCUCAGCUGGUUUCUUACUGUUAUUAUUGCUUAUAAUUAUUAUUAUUUAGUUUGUUGAGAAAAGUUGAGAGAGGAAAGACAAAAUCUGAGAGGAGGAAGAGUGUGUAAGGAGAGUAGACUGUUGCUUGCUGCAGUGGAAUUGAAGGAGUGGCAACCAAACCUAGCUAACAACCCCAGAAAUUAAAAAAAAAAAAAGAAUUUAAAGUAAAGGUAAUAAUAAUAAUAAUAAUGAAAAAAGCAGCAGCAGUAGUUGACAGUGGUUUAUAGCAGCAGCAGCAGUAGGAACACAAGAUCGAAACACAGAGUUAUUGAAUUAAUAGUUACAACUACAGUAGUACCAAAAUACAAGGAAAAGUCAC